UUUCUCUCGGGGAUGAAGAGGGGAUGGAGAGGGGAUUUUUUUUUGCGGGAAAAGGACGAGAAAUCAUUUUCAUCCUCAUACCGGAAACGGGGAUUGAUCUCCCCUACGGGGACAGGGAUUGAGAUCCCCUCUCCGCCCCUCCCCGUUGCCAUCCUUAGUACGGGCUAAGUUUCAAGGUGCUAUGUUCUUGGAACCAGCAGUUUUAAUGUCAUAGGUUCAGCUGGAUUUGUUCCUCACAGCAUUUUUGUGGUGGAUCCCAAUGUUUAGAAGGAUCAGAUCUAAAAACAAUUUCUUUUACCUUGAAGCAAAUUAAAUCUACCACUGACAAUUUUGAUCCUGUGAAUAAGAUAGAGAAGGUGGUUUUGGACAUGUUUACAAGGGUCAAUUAUUUGAUGGUACUAUAAUUGAUGUGAAGUAGCUCUCUUCAAAAUCAAAGGAGGAAAACUGAGAAUUCUUGAACUAGAUAACAACGAUUUAGUGCCUACAACACUAGAAUCUAGUAAAGUUUCACAAAUGUUGUAUUGAAGGGGAUCAACUAUGGGUAGUUUUUGAAUAAAUGGAAAAUAACAUCAAGGCAGUGAAACAAGACUGACCAACAAAGUAGAUCUAUAUUGGGAUAACUAGAGGUUUAACUUUUUCUUCAUGAAGAAUCAAGGUUCAAAAAGGUUUAAAAUUGUUCAUAGAGACAUCAAAACUACCAAUGUUUUGUUUGAUAAAGAUCUAAACCCCAAAAUAUUGGACUUCGGGUUAGUUAAGAUUGAUGAGGAAGAGAAAACUCAUAUCAAUACUCGAGUUGCUGGAAUAAUAUUGUAGGCUAAUCACAUGUCUCUCUUGUCAAGUUGAAAGUUAAUCAUGUAAUUGUUUCAGUAUAAAACACUAAAUAUUUUGAACAUAUAUGCAGAGGAUACAUGGCACUAUGCACUUGGGGUUCACCUAACUUACAAAGCGAAUGUUUACAGCUUUGGAAUUGUUACAUUAGAAAUUGUUAGUGGGAGAAACAACAAGAGUUAUGGUCCAGCUGAGGAUUCCACUUGUCUUCUAGAUUGGGCUUGUAAUUUGCAGCAACAAAAAGAAGAUAAUAGAGCUAGUAGAUCCAAAGCUAGGAUUAGAAUACAAGAAAGAGGAAGCUGAGAGGAUGAUAAGAAUAUCUCUAUUGUUUACAAAUGCUUCACCAUCACAAACUCCGACCAUGUCCGAAGCUGUAAGCAUGCUGGAAGGGAAUACUGCAAUCCCAAAUUCCAUACCUGAAGUAUGGAACGCAUUUUCUAAAUGCAUGUCAUGUGGCACAAGUUCAAUGUUAUUGUGCAAGUCUACAUUAUAAGUUCAUUGUUAAGUUAUUAAUAGUGUUCAUACAUGAUUAAUGUAUUAUGUCAUGUGACACAAGUUCAAUGUUAGUGCAAGUUCAUAAUACAAGUUCAUUGUUAGGA